AAUUUUCUAGGGUUUCUUCUAUCCAUAUUAAUUUUUCUUUUAGAUUCUCCAUUAUUUUUCUAAUUCGAUUUCUAUAAUUAAUUUCUUCAUUUAGAUUAUCUUCAUUUUCUCUAGUUUUUCUAAUAUAUUCUAACAUUUCUUGAUCUGAAUAAUAUCCAUCUGGGUAAUUAUCCAGGUAUAACUGUUCUAUCCAAUUUAUAGUUUCAAUUUCAUAGUCUAAUACUUUUUCUAAU
rnacentral:lncRNA from 1 species